CAACAUCUGGUGCCCAACGUGGGGCUCGAGGGAAACCGAAAGGGUUUUGGACCCCAGCAAGAUUGAUCAAAAUCAACAAUGGCUGAUCCUUUUGUUCAAAAAUUCGAAGAGCUUACUAUGCAGAAAAGCUUUACUUUCCAUACAAGAGAAGCAACACCUCCUACGUGGGGUCAAAUGAAGAGGUUGACCCAGGAAGCAGAGAAGACGUUAAUGAAGAUGAACAAGUUGGAUUUAGAAAAGGCAGAGGAACAAGAGGUCAAGUUGCCAACAACCACUGAAUCAUAAAAAAAGCAAGGGGAUUCCAGAAAAGCCUCUACUUCUGCUUCAUUGAAUACACUA